rnacentral:rRNA from 1 species
GACAGAGGUGCCAAGCGUUAGGCGGAAUCACUGGGCUUAAAGCGUGUGUAGGCGGAUUGGUAAGUACCUUGUGAAAUCCCACGGCUCAACCGUGGAACUGCUCGGUAUACUGCUUAUCUUGAGCCACUUAGGGGCUGUCGGAACAAAUGGUGGAGCGGUGAAAUGCGUAGAUAUCAUUUGGAACGCCAACGGUGAAAACAGACAGCUGGGAGUGUGCUGACGCUGAGACACGAAAGCCAGGGGAGCGAACGGG